AAAAAAAAAAAAAAAAACUAUAUUUCGUGGAUUCUUUCCCUCGCCUCUUAGUUAACUUCCAAAACUCUUCGUCUAUUAACCAGAAAUUCAUGAGCUGCUGAUGAUGGAAAAUAUUCCAUAUGAUGAAGGGUGAAAUCUUGUACCAUUUCCUUUCUUUUUACUUUUCCCUAUAAAAACUUGUGCGCAGUGUCUGCUUCGUUUUUUCUUCAGCUCGUGAACUUGAGUUCCGGAACUAGCACUAUGAGUGCCUUCGCGUAUCUCAGUGGCGACCUUGUUGUGAAGACAAUCGUAACUUCUUAUAUGUACGUAACUUAAUUUGACACAUAAGACAUCUUCAUGUUUCUUUUCUAGAUUUUUGUGGGUAUUUUUCUUCAUCUUAAACCUAAUGGUUUAUAACAGUGUAACAAUGUCUUCUCCUUCUCCUUCAUACGGUGCCAUUGUUCCAGUAUAAAAUUCUUACAGAG
rnacentral:lncRNA from 1 species